UGCUGUACAACAUCUUUUUUUUUAUUUUACUCAUAUUAUAAAACGUUUGCACGAGGCUUUAGAAGUUAACAAUGUUCACUGCCUGUAAACAAGCCUAGGACACCCACUUUAAAAUAAAUAAAUUAGAAUAAAUCAUUAUUCUUUUGCAUCAGCAAUACAACAAAAGGUACGCAAUUUAUUCUCGGUUUCUACUCUGAUGCAAAUAAUAAAACAAAAACCAUCAAAUUAAGUCUGUCAUAUAUACCAUUGUUAGUAAUAAUAUCAAAAUGUGCUGUCACUCCUCAGAGUUAUCGUUCAGUUCAGGUUAUGAAAAUAUGUACACCCAUUUAGUAAUUUUGCUGUUAUAUAGGAUAUUUAAUGUUCAAACAGAAAAGGGGAAAGUUACAUCAAAGCAAUGGCAUCUAUACAUUUUCUUAAAUGAAGAUCCGCUUCAUUUAACAUUUUGAAGACCAUCUAAGAUGUGAAUGUGAUCUUUGCCUUUAUCAUAAGUACAUGUAUUUUAGAAAUAUAUAUAUAUAUAUAUAUAUAUAUAUAUAUAUAUAUAUAUAUAUAUGCAAUAUAUUCUUACUCUUAUAUACAAUUGGGUGUGUAUAUAUAAAUAUAUAACAUACGAUGGGUUGAUGUGAUAUUACACAUUCCAUUUAUACUAUAGCUAUUGUUGGUUACUUUAGUUUAUAUAUUUAAAUAUAUAUGGCCUCGACCAGCAAGGGAGAUCAGAACAACUGAUGUAUCACAAUGCCGAUCUGGAGGUCCGCCCCACUAAACUUGAUGGAAAUGCAUGAAUCUGAUGGGGAUCUGUGUGGGGUCUCUGCUUUCAUGCGGGAAAGUGGCACUAGAAGCUGGUCAAAGGCCAUAAGAGCAGAAGCAGAAGCAAAUUCUGCUCUCAGAUAUGCAUGUCCAUAUGCUCAUUUAGGUUUGCUUUGUUUUUCACCCCAGAUUCAGAUCAAAAUAGGCUGAACUCUUUCAUUUUCUGGCUCUAGAUUCAGCCUAUAACCAUUUAACUCAAUGAACCCCCUAUCUACACAAAGGCUUUGUCUUGUUUUCCAUCAGGGCUUUGAGCAUGGGAUUAGAAAUAGUCAUAUAUGAAUGGCUGGUGAAGAUGAUGGACUAUGACAAAAUGGCUAAAUUGACCGGGAAAAUCAGAAACCAGGAAGAGAAGAACUUUAAAAAGGAAUGGGGGGAAUUAUAAUGUACCUAAGAGAACGCUGUAAACAACUAAAAACUUUGGCAGGAUUCGAGUAAUGUUUGUAAUGUACUAAAAAAACUAAGGUAAAAUUGAAUUAUAUAAGAAAAAUAGAGAAAAUAAGUGAAGCCGUGGGAAAAGAUUGAAAAUGGUAACCAUUUACCAUUUGGAGGGGCGUCAAAGGAUUCAGGGAAUCCUGAAUGAGGGUGAAGAUGUUUGUUGUUGGAAUUUAAAUUUGCAAUGUAAAACUCAAUUUUAAAAAAAUUAUUUUUUUUUAAAAAAAGAAAUAAUCAUUUAUAUGAAAUGCAAAUCGGCUCAUAGAAGGGAUCAGCAGCCUUUUUAUUCAAGGUGUUCUGGGUUGUUGAUAAGAAGAGUUUUCCUAUGGUCCGUCAUGGGAUAUAGACUGCAGUUAUUAAAACUCGAAUGUCCAUGCAUAUAUCUGAGGUUAGAAUUAGCCCCAUAUUAUCCUUUGGUUUGUUUUAAGCUUACUAGCUUAAAAGGUUUAUACAUAUCUAUAUAUAUAUCUAUGCUUUCCCCUCUGUAAACGAACAAGCAAAAAACCCUGAAGCACUCAAGCAAACACAGCUCCUGUCGGUCAUUAUACAUUUCUGAAACAAUGUGUUCCUCGCUUGUGAAACUCUUUAUUGCAUUCCAUGUAUCUCCAGUGGCUCCAAGACUUGCACAGAGCUCCUUUUAUUUCUGAAGCAUGGGAGAAUUUUCAGUGUAGAAUGUUCAAUGCACACAAUGGGUAUUGUUACAUUUCUUCAGCACAAAUAACUCAUAUGUUUCUUAUAUUAUCUUCCUGACUUGGUUUAAGCUGCACAUUUUUACAUAUCCCAUAAAGAAACAGCAGAACUGCCACUGCCCAGAUCCGAGUAAUUCCAAAUUUUCUGGUGUACGUAUUCCCUGCUUACAUGUCUCCACUUAUCCUAACCUGGGAUCCACAGCCUUCCUAAUUUAUUCAGACGUAUAUUUAGAGACACCUUUUUAGAUAUCCAAUAUUGUGCUUUGAUAAAUUAGACUGUGCUAGAACACAUUCCGGAGACUUGAAAGAGAAAAAAAGGAGCCAGGGUUAACAGCAGUGCUAUUUUUCUGGAAAAAUCGGUGCCAGAACUCACCACAAACACCUCCCUUUGAGUUCCGGUGAGUUCUAGCUGAAAGAAAAGCCCUGGUUAACAGUUAGGAGAAAACAAUUCAUUUGCAAACUAAGAAGCAAAACAUGCUUAAACUCAUGUGAUGAGAAAUAUGCACACAAGUCCUUUUGACUCUGGGAUAUGCCUCUGCGUCACACCUAGAGCAGCAAGAAACAGCUGUAGGUUUCGCUGGAGUCAAGGCAAAUCUCAAUUAAGCAACGAGACAACUGGUUUGUUGUCAAGAUUGCUCCCCCCUUUAUGACACACUGGGCAAUAGAUAUAGGACAUAAUAUAGAUUUGAAUCUCUGUGGAAAACUUUGGAAUGGUGAUCUGAAGUUCACAGCAUCUUAUUCUUCAAAGGAGAACUACCUGAAAAUGAUUUACAGAUGGUAUUUAAGUCCAAGCAGACUUGCUAAAAUGUACAAGUCCGAAUCAGAUAAGCACUGGAGAUGUAACGAGGUUGAGGGUACGUUUUAUCAUAUGUGAUGUAGUUGUAAAAGGGUAAAAGAGUAUUGGGAAAUGAUAUAUAAUGAAGUGAAAAAAAUGUUUUAAAGUACCUUUGCAAAAAAACCAGAGUCCUUUUUGUUGAGGAUAAUUCAGUGGGAAAUUCCCAGGUGUCAAAAAAGACUAUUUAAGUAUGCUACUACAGCGGCCUGUUUUUUGUUAGCCCCCAAAUUGAAAACGAGCGAGGUCCCAACCAAAGAAGAAUGGCAACUUAAACUGAUGGAAUAUGCGCAGCUUGCAGAUUUAACAUAUGGAAUAAGAGAACAAGAAGAACAUACAUUUAAAGAAGACUGGGAAAUGUUUACUGACUAUAUGGAGGAAAAUUGUGUUCAUUUAAAAAUGCUGGUAGCGUUAAGAUAAAUUCAACAGUGUAAAUAAGUUUUGAUGGAUGUAACAAUGGAUUACUGAAUGGUUUAGUUUAUGUAAAAUAUGCAGGGAUAUAUGGUAUGGAAAAUGAACCACAGAAAGAGGAGAAGAGAAGCCAUUGAUUUAAGAUUGUCUAAAUGAAAAUUUUGAAAUGUAAUUUAGAAAAUUUAAUAAAAAUUAUAGAAAGAUUGCUCCCCACACCCACCCAAAAGGAAGGCUCCAGUUACUACCACAUUUUCGGUAAAAUACUUUCUGCUGAAUCACAUCUCUUUGCAGGAGUCUGUUAAAGAGCUAAACUCGAAUCUUGUGAGAGGAGAGCAGGGAUGUGCUUACAGGCCCCACUUCUUCCAACCUCCAAAGACUAAAGGAGAAAAGCUGCAGUGGGGAGCUGGUGAAGUUCUGGCUUUCUGGAGGAUUUAGAGAAGGAGGGGAAAUUCCAUUGUCCAAGCAGAAGUCUUUGCAUGAAUUGGAUGAUUAUGCUGGAUGCAACCAAACGAGCAUAGGAUGAAAAAGGCAGAGAUUUGCCACCUGGUAAUGUAAAGAUUUGAAAUUUCAGCUGAUUCAGAGCAGCUCUUACAAGUUGCUCUUUGCUGGAGUCAGGGCUGUCUUACUCGUAGAUAAGUGUGGGGCGCCAGGGCGCCAGCUUCUGGAGGGCACCAGAGAAGAGGCAGAGGCUGGACGCGGCGCCUCCUGGCAUCAGCUUGCCACCUUCGCCUGCCUCCGCCAUGUGGCACCAAAGCAGCGCCGUGCCCGGAGCCUUCGUCUGCCGUGGCCACCGCGGCACAAAGCAGCCAGCUGAGCCGGGAGGCGCCACGUCUAGCCUCUGCCUCUUCCCCACCGGAGGAGCUGCCCUCCAGCCACUGCCCACCACCUCCAGCCCCGCCAGCAGUGCCAUCCUCCCUAAAAGAAGGUAGACAACUCUGGGAAAUGGGGGGGGGGGGCGCCAGAGGGAGCUUUGCACCACAGCGCCGGAUAUGCUUAAGACGGCCCUGGCUGGAGUCACCCACCACCGUGGCAACAUCUGUGUUUAACUUGCUUUUCUAGAAAGGCCAGAGAUUUUAGAUGAUUCGAGUCAGGCUCUUAUAAACCACAAACACUAAUGUAAGUGGCUGCAUGAUUUUAAUUCCAAGGUCAUGUCGCAGCCAAAACUAUAUGAACUUUUAAGUCUGCUUUGUCUCCACGGGAGACAUUUAAGCACACGUGUCACUUGUCCCAUUUAAAUUAAUAAGACCCAAAAGAGCUUAAAUUGGGUUGAAGGGUGCCACAAUUAUUCCCUCAGGUUAUAAAUGAGUUUCCUAAUAUAUAUCCCAAUCAAAAAGUAGCGUUAUGAGAUGCACCAUGAUCAUGAAAUAAUGACAACCAGCCAUCCUUUUCAUCGGUGAAGUGUGUCUGUCUUUCUCAUUAUUAACAUUCAGGUGGGAUUUAAACACCUUCCUGUCCACUUUCCUGUCCCUUGAUGGCUGAAAUAUACAGUUUCAGUGGCAACCCUGGCAUUUUCAGCUCUGAGGAUAUUUGAUUUCAACGUUUUGUAUUGUUUUGCUGCUUUAUUGGAUUAUUCCUUCAGCAGCAAAGACAUUUAUUGACUGUACGGAUAACCAAAUAUGUUAUAAUUUUAACAUUGCUUUGUCGUACUGAAGCAUCUUUGACAAUGCUUUUGGAAUUGGGUGGCUCCAAUUCAUUCUUCAGUUCCAAAAAAUUCAGAUGAAGUUGUGACUUCAUGAUAAUUUCUAGAAUGCAGCACACAAGGGAUUGUGAGGCUGCUAAGGACCCACAGUCCAAUACAAAACCGGGAGGGAGUGUUUUAAAGGCCUCUCUGCACUGGUAUCCCAAGAGCCAUUGGGAUGGGGGGAAGGGUAUGGCACAGACCACCAAGCUUUCCUAGAAUCUCUCCCCCCUCCACUGCCCCCACCUACGAUGGUACGGUCUGGCACGGUCUGGCAGCGAGGGACUGUGCUUUACCUGUUCCCAUGCUGAAGCUGCCCUGCAAUACCUAGCAAGGCCCAGGGGCUGGGAUAAGAAGAAGAAAAAGGUAAAGGACCCCUGGACGGUUAAGUCCAGUCAAAGGCCACUAUGGGGUUGCGGUGCUCAGGCCAAAGGAGCUGGCAUUUGUCCACAGAUAGCUUUCUGGGUCAUGUGACCAGCAUGACUAAACCGUUUCUGGUGCAACGGGACACCAUGACGGAAACCAGAGUGCACGGAACCACUGUUUCCCUUCCUGCCACAGCAGUACCUAUUUCUCUACUUGCACUGGUGUGCUUUCGAACUGCUGGUUGGCAGGAGCUGGGACAGAGCAAUGGGAGCUCACCCUGUUGCGG